rnacentral:rRNA from 1 species
UGAACGCUGGCGGCGUGCCUAAUACAUGCAAGUCGAGCGAACGGACGAGAAGCUUGCUUCUCUGAUGUUAGCGGCGGACGGGUGAGUAACACGUGGAUAACCUACCUAUAAGACUGGGGUAACUUCGGGAAACCGGAUCUAAUACCGGAUGAUAUUUUGAACCGCAUGGUUCAAAAGUGAAAGACGGUCUUGCUGUCACUUAUAGAUGGAUCCGCGCUGCAUUAGCUAGUUGGUAAGGUAACGGCUUACCAAGGCAACGAUGCAUAGCCGACCUGAGAGGGUGAUCGGCCACACUGGAACUGAGACACGGUCCAGACUCCUACGGGAGGCAGCAGUAGGGAAUCUUCCGCAAUGGGCGAAAGCCUGACGGAGCAACGCCGCGUGAGUGAUGAAGGUCUUCGGAUCGUAAAACUCUGUUAUUAGGGAAGAACAUAUGUGUAAGUAACUGUGCACAUCUUGACGGUACCUAAUCAGAAAGCCACGGCUAACUACGUG